rnacentral:rRNA from 1 species
AUCCUGGCUCAGAUUGAACGCUGGCGGCAUGCUUACACAUGCAAGUCGAACGGCAGCGCGGGGGCAACCCUGGCGGCGAGUGGCGGAACGGGUGGAGUAAUGCAUCGGAACGUAUCCUGUAAUGGGGGAUAACGUAGCGAAAGUUACGCUAAUACCGCAUACGCUCGAGAGAGGAAAGUGGGGGAUCGCAAGACCUCACGUUACAGGAGCGGCCGAUGUCCGAUUAGCUAGUUGGUGGGGUAAAGGCCUACCAAGGCGACGAUCGGUAGCUGGUCUGAGAGGACGACCAGCCACACUGGAACUGAGACACGGUCCAGACUCCUACGGGAGGCAGCAGUGGGGAAUUUUGGACAAUGGGCGCAAGCCUGAUCCAGCCAUUCCGCGUGCAGGAUGGAGGCCUUCGGGUUGUAAACUGCUUUUGUACGGAACGAAACGGUCUGCCCUAAUACGGCGGGCUAAUGACGGUACCGUAAGAAUAAGCACCGGCUAACUACGUG